UACGUAGGGUGCGAGCGUUAAUCGGAAUUACUGGGCGUAAAGCGUGCGCAGGCGGUGAUGUAAGACCGAUGUGAAAUCCCCGGGCUUAACCUGGGAACUGCAUUGGUGACUGCAUUGCUGGAGUAUGGCAGAGGGGGGUGGAAUUCCACGUGUAGCAGUGGAAUGCGUAGAGAUGUGGAGGAACACCGAUGGCGAAGGCAGCCCCCUGGGCCAAUACUGACGCUCAUGCACGAAAGCGUGGGGAGCAAACAGG
rnacentral:rRNA from 1 species